rnacentral:rRNA from 1 species
AGAGCGAACGUUAGCGGCAGGCCUAACACAUGCAAGUCGAGCGAGAAAGGGGCUUCGGCCCUGAGUAAAGCGGCGGACGGGUGCGUAACACGUGGAUAAUCUGCCCUUCGGCGGGGGAUAACAGUCCGAAAGGAUUGCUAAUACCGCAUACGUCGACGGAGGCUCCGGCUUCUGUCGGGAAAGGGGGCGUCCGCAAGGGGCUCCCACCGGAGGAUGAGUCCGCGGCCCAUCAGCUUGUUGGCGGUGUAAAAGACCACCAAGGCGAAGACGGGUAGCUGGUCUGAGAGGAUGAUCAGCCACACUGGGACUGAGACACGGCCAGACUCCACGGGAGCAGCAGUGGGGAAUAGUUGGGCAAGUGGGCGCAAGCCUGGACCCAGCCAUGCCGCGUGAGUGAUGAAGGCCUUCGGCGUAAAGCUCUGGUGGGAGGACGAACGAGGCCCGGGGUUAAUACCCCGUGGUCUGACGGUACCUCCGUUAGCAAGCACCGGCUAACCUCCGCGCCAGCCAGCCGA